GCGGGUGUCGUAUAACGGCUAUUACACAUCCUUGCCAAGGAUGAAAAGAGGGUUCGACUCCCUUCACCCGCUCCC
rnacentral:tRNA from 2 species